AGAGUUUGAUCCUGGCUCAGAUUGAACGCUGGCGGCAGGCUUAACACAUGCAAGUCGAGCGGUAACAGGAGUAGCUUGCUACUCGCUGACGAGCGGCGGACGGGUGAGUAAUGCCUAAGAAUCUGCCUAGUGGUGGGGGAUAGCCCGGGGAAACCCGGAUUAAUACCGCAUACGCCCUACGGGGGAAAGCGGGGGAUCUUCGGACCUCGCGCCAUUAGAUGAGCUUAGGUCAGAUUAGCUAGUUGGUGAGGUAAAGGCUCACCAAGGCGACGAUCUGUAGCUGGUCUGAGAGGAUGAUCAGCCACACUGGGACUGAGACACGGCCCAGACUCCUACGGGAGGCAGCAGUGGGGAAUAUUGGGCAAUGGGGGAAACCCUGACCCAGCGACGCCGCGUGAGCGAUGAAGGCCCUUGGGUCGUAAAGCUCUGUCAUGCGGGACGAAAUGUCUGUGCCCUAACACGGUACAGGCUUGACGGUACCGCAGGAGGAAGCCCCGGCUAACUCCGUGCCAGCAGCCGCGGUAAUACGGAGGGGGCGAGCGUUAUUCGGAAUUAUUGGGCGUAAAGGGCAGGUAGGCGGUCUGGUAUGUCUUUUGUGAAAUCCCUCGGCUCAACCGAGGAACUGCAAGAGAAACUGCGAGACUUGAGUCCGGGAGGGGGUUAGUUGGAAUUCCCAGUGUAGGCGGUGAAAUGCGUAGAUAUUGGGAGGAACACCAGUGGCGAAGGCGGCUACCUGGACCGGUACUGACGCUGAGACUCGAAAGCGUGGGGAGCGAACGGGAUUAGAUACCCCGGUAGUCCACGCUGUAAACGGUGCGCACUAGGUGUGGGGGGGGUAUCGACCCCCUCCCGUGCCGCAGUUAACACAUUUAAUUGCGCCCCCCCGGGGGAGUACCACCCCCCCGGGUUAAAACUCCCAAGGAAUUUUACGGGGGGGCCCCCCCAAACCGGUGGGAGCAA
rnacentral:rRNA from 1 species